GCCCCCGUAGCUCAAUGGACAGAGCAUCCGCCUCCGGCGCGGAAGGUUGCAGGUUCGAAUCCUGCCGCGGGCA
rnacentral:tRNA from 1 species